UAUAUGCUGGAAUGCUUUAUGCGUAAAAUGGAUUCGUCUGCCCAAGGAUGGGUCUGCGGCCUAUCAGGUAGUAGUGGGUGUAAUGUACCUACUAGCCUACAACGGGUACGGGUUGUGAGAGCAAGAGCCCGGAGAUGGAUUCUGAGACAUGAAUCCAGGCCCUACGGGGCGCAGCAGGCGCGAAAACUUUACAAUGCGGGAAACCGUGAUAAGGGGACACCGAGUGCCAGCAUCAUAUGUUGGCUGUCCAGAUGUGUAAAAUACAUCUGUUAGCAAGGGCCGGGCAAGACCGGUGCCAGCCGCCGCGGUAACACCGGCGGCCCGAGUGGUGAUCGUGAUUAUUGGGUCUAAAGGGUCCGUAGCCGGUUUGGUCAGUCCUCCGGGAAAUCUGACGGCUCAACCGUUAGGCUUUCGGUGGAUACUGCCAGACUUGGAACCGGGAGAGGUAAGAGGUACUACAGGGGUAGGAGUGAAAUCUUGUAAUCCCUGUGAGACCACCUGUGGCGAAGGCGUCUUACCAGAACGGGUUCGACGGUGAGGGACGAAAGCUGGGGGCACGAACCGGAUUAGAUACCCGGGUAGUCCCAGCCGUAAACGAUGCUCGCUAGGUGUCAGGCAUGGCGCGACCGUGUCUGGUGCCGCAGGGAAGCCGUGAAGCGAGCCACCUGGGAAGUACGGCCGCAAGGCUGAAACUUAAAGGAAUUGGCGGGGGAGCACAACAACGGGUGGAGCCUGCGGUUUAAUUGGACUCAACGCCGGACAACUCACCGGGGACGACAGCAAAAUGUAGGCCAGGCUGAAGACCUUGCCUGAAUCGCUGAGAGGAGGUGCAUGGCCGUCGCCAGUUCGUACUGUGAAGCAUCCUGUUAAGUCAGGCAACGAGCGAGACCCGUGCCCACUGUUACCAGCAUGUCCUCCGGGACGAUGGGUACUCUGUGGGGACCGCCGAUGUUAAAUCGGAGGAAGGUGCGGGCCACGGUAGGUCAGUAUGCCCCGAAUUUCCCGGGCUACACGCGGGCUACAAUGAAUGGGACAAUGGGUCCCUCCCCUGAAAAGGGCUGGUAAUCUCCCAAACCCAUCCGUAG
rnacentral:rRNA from 1 species